AUUGAACGCUAGCGGGAUGCCUUACACAUGCAAGUCGAACGAGUGGCGGACGGGUGAGUAAUGUCUGGGAAACUGCCCGAUGGAGGGGGAUAACUACUGGAAACGGUAGCUAAUACCGCAUACCAUCGGAUGUGCCCAUAUGGGAUUAGCUUGUAGGUGGGGUAACGGCUUACCUGGGCGACGAUCCCUAGCUGGUCUGAGAGGAUGACCAGCCAGACUGGAACUGAUACACGGUCCAGACUCCUACGGGAGGCAGCAGUGGGGAUUAUUGCACUAUGGGCGCAAGCCUGAUACAGCCAUGCCGCGUGUAUGAAGAAGGCCUUCGGGUUGUAAAGUACUUUCAGCGAGGAGGCGUUACUCGCAGAAGAAGCACCGGCUAACUCCGUGCCAGCAGCCGCGGUAAUUC
rnacentral:rRNA from 1 species